AUUGGAAUUAAGAUAGAUGAAAACACAUUUGAGAAUGCUGACUUGAGUAAAGAAAUGGAGAUGGCUAGACUUUGUUUGGCUCAAAAGAAAAAGAAACUGGAAAAUGAUCCAAUGAAAGGGAAAAACAUGAUGAAAAUAAAGAUGAUUUUGAUGGGGAUAAAAGAUGGACCUAGAGUGAAGAGUCUGAAUCAGACAACUUCAUUGUGGUGCAGUCCAGGAAAAAGAGAAAAGAAAAAAGAAUUAAUGUUUAAAUGUCUCCUAUCACCAAAGGGCAAAUUAGUUUUGACCCAAAAAAGAAAGACAAAAGAGGCAAUGCCAAAAACCCUUACACCAAAAGUAAAUAUGCAAAUGAACCUAAAAAUAAAGAUUCC
rnacentral:misc_RNA from 1 species